GCCAUAACUGAGGCCUGAAGAUGAAGUGCUCAGGCUGCAGCCAUAUUAUUGCGGAGAAAACGGCCAAGUUUUGCAGUAACUGUGGCAAAAGUCUGUCUGCACAAUUUGGAAACACACAAGGAAAUCAGCCUAAAUCUUUGGAAACAGACGUGGAAAGUAAAACUGAGGAUUCAGAUUCUCAGAAAAAUGUCCAACCUGCAGAGAACACAGAUGGGAAAAGAUCUCCCAAAUGGCAAAAUGAAGAAGAGCCCAACUCCAAGAAGAAG